rnacentral:misc_RNA from 1 species
UCGAAGUUCCAUCCACAAAUGGAUAAUACUUCGGUCUUAGUGUAUACGAGUCGUUGAAGUUGAAGGAGCAAUACCAAACUUCUUGAUAGAAUAAGAAGUUUGGUAUUGCUCCGUUUGAUUCAGUUCAGUAGUGUAAGCAUUUUUCCUUCAUUUCUUUUCUUCAACUUAAGAAAAGAAAACGGUAUUUCUGAUUGGUUCAUGAUCGAACAUCGUAGUUUCGUUCUGUACCAAUCUGUAAUUUAUGUACUACGUUCCACAAAAUCAUUUUAUUUUUUUUUUUCGUAAAAGAAUUUUUUUUAUUUUAAAGGAUUGGCAUAUUAUGUACAAUAUCUGUAUCUCAAUAGGAAGGAAAGUAAGAAAGACUAAAUACAAAAAUAAUGAAUGGUUAAAAUGGAAUCCUUUUGAGAGAGGGAGAGGAGAGGGGCGGAUGUAGCCAAG